CCUCUGACGCUCGUUUACUCGGAAGUAGGCCCUACUGUGUGUGAUGGCUUUUUUUUUUUUUCCUCCCGAGGCGGCUAAGAAAUCGUGGCGUCGCGGCUUUGCUUUUGGGAUUGCUGGUUACGACACUUUUUAAUCUCUCAGCCCAGCAGAUCCACAGAGAACCGACCAGCGAGGGCAUGAUUUCUGAACCGCAGCCCCGGCCAUCCCCUCAAGAUAAAUCAAACCCCAUCGUGCGAACGCUACAACAACCUUGGCCCGAGUGGGUGGGGAUUCGGAAGAGGGAGGAAAGGGGCGGAUCGGAUCCGAGGAGAGCCGAGGAAGGGAGCUAACAGGCGGUCGGGCGAUCGCUUCAAUUUGAGCUAAACUGGGAACCGGCUCGGCAAGGGUUAACGCGGCGGCAGUUCCUCUCCGGUGCUCCCCGCAGAGCCUGUUAUGGCCUUUAAGCAGACGUCGCUAAUGCAUCCCGCACCAGCCCCCUCUCGGGCUGCCACUGGGGUUUCCUGCUUGUGCGGCAGGCAUUGAGCCGAGCGUGGCAGCCUUCCUGCGAGCCCAGCUGCCUUAACGGAGCAGAGCCCGGGAACCGACGGAGGCAAGCAAGCCUUCCUCAGCUGAUAUACCCUGAGCCCGGGUUCCUCAGGUGCGACGCUUUGCACUCAGCCGGGAGCCUUGCAGACAACAGACCCAAGGAAUCACCAUGUGGUCCCGCUUUUUGAGAACAGUUCCUGAAGGCCAAGGCUGUCAGAUUUCCAUCCUAAUAAAACAGUGACGAUGAGAAA